rnacentral:sRNA from 1 species
UGUCGUAGGGGCCUGGUCCGUGAGGGACUGCUAAGGAAGAGGCUGCAUGGCGCGGUAGUCCCCCGAGUGGAGGUCGGCUGCCCCUGGGAAACCAGAGAGUCGGAGGGAGUCCAUCUGGAGCGGCCAAGUGGUGACUUUCAAAAGGAAAUAGGAUCAUGGCAGCAGAUGAUGACAAUGGUGAUGGAACAAGUUUAUUUGAUGUCUUUUCUGCUUCUCCUCUUAAGAACAAUGAUGAAGGCUCACUGGACAUAUACGCUGGGUUGGACAGUGCUGUUUCUGACAGCGCUUCUAAAUCCUGUGUACCAUCAAGAAAUUGUUUGGACUUAUAUGAAGAGAUCCUGACUGAAGAAGGAACUGCAAAGGAGGCAACAUAUAAUGAUUUGCAAGUAGAAUAUGGAAAAUGUCAACUACAAAUGAAAGAGCUGAUGAAAAAGUUUAAAGAAAUACAGACACAGAAUUUCAGCUUAAUAAACGAAAACCAGUCUCUUAAGAAGAAUAUUUCAGCACUUAUCAAAACUGCCAGAGUGGAAAUAAACCGCAAGGAUGAAGAAAUAAGUAAUCUUCACCAAAGAAAUGAUGACCGGGAAAUUUUAUUGGAGUGUCAGAAAAGAGGGCCAUCAUUUAAAACAUUUGCAUAUUUAGCCGCCAAGUUGGAUAAAAAUCCAAAUCAGAUAAGUUGCUGAAUUCCUGGGACUCUUAAUUGAUAUUGCAUACUACACAGAAGCUUCAAAUUCCUCAUGUUUUAAAUGAGCACUAGAGGGAGGUUUAUCACCUUUUUGGUUACCAGAUGAUAAUCUAUAUUUGUUAUUACUCAGUGACUCUCUAAUUUCACAUCAGCAUGUUCAGCUUGUUCUAGUCAUCAUUCUGAUUUGCUUAUCUGUUUUUGGUCAAAAUAUUUAUUUUUAAACAUGUUAGAACUUACCAAAAUGAAAGCAACAGUGAUGUAUUGAAAUCUUAGUUUUGAUAUUUUAAAGAAAUGACUUUCUAGAUUAAAAAAAUAGUUUUGUAGCAUUUUAAACUUAGUGACUAUUUAGUUCAAGUGUUCAUCCAUUUUUUAUUUGCUUUUAUAAUUGCCUCCUUGUUUUGGUAUAUUGUAAAAUAAUUUAAAUAAUGUAUUUAUAAAUAUGUAUAAUUAUGAUGUAAAAUACCGUGUGUAUAUGUAUGUAUGUGUGUUUCUGUAUAUGCACACACAUAAAUGGCUUUGCCUAGCCAAGGAUUUUUUUUAUCUGUAUAAAACUUUUUGUAUAAAGUUUGCUUUCAAUAACAGUAAUGUAUAAUAAAACCAUGUAAAGUUUUGUUG